GUUAAGUCUGUCGUGAAGUCCCCGGGCUCAACCUGGGAAUGGCGAUGGAUACUGGCAAGCUAGAGUGUGUCAGAGGAUGGUGGAAUUUCCGGUGUAGCGGUGAAAUGCGUAGAUAUCAGAAGGAACACCAAUGGCGAAGGCAGCUUGCUGGGCCUUACCUGACGCUCAGAGACGAAAGCGUGGGGAGCGAACGGGAUUAGAUACCCCGGUAGUCCACGCCGUAAACGAUGAUAACUAGUAGUAUGAAGAUUCGACCCUUUGUGCUACGAAGCUAACGCGAUAAGUUAUCCGCCUGGGGAGUACGAGCGCAAGCUUAAAACUCAAAGGAAUUGACGGGGACCCGCACAAGCAGAGGAGGAUGUGGUUUAAUUCGAAGCUAAGCGAAGAACCUUACCGAGGCUUGACAUCUCUGGAAUUUUGGCGAAAGCCGAAAGUGCCUUCGGGAACCAGAUGACAGAUGCUGCAUGGCCGUCGUCAGCUCGUGUCGUGAGAUGUUGGGUUAAGUCCCGCAACGAGCGCAACCCUCGUCGUCAGUUGUAUUUUCUGGCGAGACCGCCCGGGCCAACCGGGAGGAAGGUGGGGAUGACGUCUGGUCAGCAUGGCUCUUACGCCUCGGGCUACACACGUCCUACAAUGGCCACUACAACGCGCUGCCAAACCGUAAGGUGGAGCAAAUCGCAUCAAAAGUGGUCUCAGUUCGGAUUGAGGGCUGA
rnacentral:rRNA from 1 species